rnacentral:rRNA from 1 species
UACGUAGGGUGCGAGGGUUGUCCGGAAUUACUGGGCGUAAAGAGCUCGUAGGUGGUUUGUCGCGUUGUUCGUGAAAACCGGGGGCUUAACCCUCGGCGUGCGGGCGAUACGGGCAGACUUGAGUACUGCAGGGGAGACUGGAAUUCCUGGUGUAGCGGUGGAAUGCGCAGAUAUCAGGAGGAACACCGGUGGCGAAGGCGGGUCUCUGGGCAGUAACUGACGCUGAGGAGCGAAAGCGUGGGGAGCGAACAGG